UUGCAGAUAUUGUACCAGCCUUCCAUCCCUGGAAUGAAUCCCACUUGGUCACGGUGUAUGAUCUUCUUGAUGUGAUGCUGAAUUGAUUUG